rnacentral:tRNA from 1 species
GGUGAUGUAGCUCAGUGGUAUAGCACAUGCUUAGCGUGCACAAGGCCCUGGGUUCCAUCCCUAGCAUUUCCA